rnacentral:lncRNA from 1 species
UUCUCACCGGAAAGUUGGUUCCAGCGGCUUGCACUGAAGUAGCUAAACCAGGUCCUUAAAUUAAUGUCGCUUGUCCACCAGUCAUCCCUCUAAUCUAGUGAAUUAGGGUGCGAUGAAGAAGUUUUGCAAUAUUUUUCUUUUUCUUUUUAAUAAAUAAGUCAUCUAUAUAUAGAUUUUAAUAGAUAAAUAGUCCCUUCAUUCUUGAUGUUUACCAAAUGAAGAGUGACUUGUGAUUGGAUAGUUAUUUUUAAUGGAAUGUUACUAAAAUGAUAUAUUUGGAAUUCUUAAACCUUUUUUAAAAUGCCACAUUUUCUAAAAUUUCUCAAAAUACCAUGAAACAAUGGACAACGGUUUCAUUUGUG